rnacentral:rRNA from 1 species
CCUGAACGCUGGCGGCGUGGCUAAGACAUGCAAGUCGCACGGGGUCGCAAGACCCAGUGGCGGACGGGUGAGUAAUGUAUCGCUAAUGUACCCUAGAGCCGUGGGAUAGCUGCCCGAAAGGGCAGGUAAUACCAGAUGAUAUAAACUUUAUCGCAUGAUAAGGUUCUCAAAGCAGCAAUGCACUCCUGGAGCAGGCGAUAUCGUAUCAGCUAGUUGGUGAGGUAACGGCUCACCAAGGCGAUGACGCGUAGCUGGUCUGAGAGGACGACCAGCCACAUCGGGACU